rnacentral:tRNA from 1 species
GCGCCGAUAGUGUAGUGGUUAUCACUAUGCGUUGCCAACGCAUAAACUCGGGUUCGAAUCCCGGUCGGCGCA